CAUGCAAGUCGACGGUGAAGGAGGGCUUGCCCUCCGGAUCAGCGGCGAACGGAGUGAGUAACACGUGAGCAACCUGCCCCUCACUCUGGGAUAACACCGGGAAACCGGUGCUAAUACCGGAUACGACCAGGAGCGACAUCACGCGUGGUGGAAAGAACUUCGGUGAGGGAUGGGCCCGCGUCCUAUCAGCUUGUUGGUGAGGUAACGGCUCACCAAGGCGACGACGGGUAGCCGGCCUGAGAGGGCGACCGUCCACACUGGGACUGAGACACGGCCCAGACUCCUACGGGAGGCAGCAGUGGGGAAUAUUGCGCAAUGGGCGAAAGCCUGACGCAGCGACGCAGCGUGAGGGACGAAGGCCUUCGGGCUGUAAACCUCUUUUAGCAGGGAAGAAGCGAAAGUGACGGUACCUGCAGAAAAAGCACCGGCUAACUACGUGCCAGCAGCCGCGGUAAUACGUUGGGUGCAAGCGUUAUCCGGAAUUAUUGGGCGUAAAGAGCUCGUAGGCGGUUUGUCGCGUCUGCUGUGAAAACCCGAGGCUCAACCUCGGGCCUGCAGUGGGUACGGGCAAACUAGAGUGCGGUAGGGGAGAUUGGAAUUCCUGGUGUAGCGGUGGAAUGCGCAGAUAUCAGGAGGAACACCGAUGGCGAAGGCAGAUCUCUGGUCCGUAACUGUCGUUGAGGAGCGAAAGCAUGGGGAGCGAACAGGAUUAGAUACCCUGUUAGUCCAUGCCCUAAACGUUGGGAACUAGAUGUGGGGGCCAUUCCACGGCUUCCGUGUCGCAGCUAACGCAUUAAGUUCCCCGCCUG
rnacentral:rRNA from 1 species